UGUUAUUGUCAGAAAUGGACCAAUCAUUAUAUUGUCGGAUACCUGACGAAUCAUCUACCGCGAGAAAAAUUAGCCAUUCACUGACCUAACGACAACAGGGUAGGCACAAGGCGAAAACUGCAUUACUGAAUCAUAAGGGUGACAGGUGAAACUGAAGAUAACUGAGGUGUUUUGUUAUUUGACAGUUCACUUAAAGACAGCGCGACUCACCACUUCUCACGCUAAAGUUUAUUCACUUUUAUUAACAUGAAUCUAAUUAUAAACGAAAUUGACACAACUGGAUUUGCCCAUACAAGGAAAAUAGAUAAUAACUGUGCUAUAUCAAGCAACGUAACAACCAAAAGAAACGGACUCUUAUCAAAACUGGAUGUACUUGUAAAGCUCUGCAAGGAUUACGAGGAGGAAGAGUCAACCAAAUUUGAAUUUGCCAUCAUAAUGCCGGAGCAUUGUGUAGUAUAACAGUGCACCUGUGAGUGAUGCGGCAUUCGCAGCUGUUGUUGCUGUGGAACCUGCUGCUGUUGUUGGUGCUGCUGCUGUGGAACCUGUUGUUGUUGUAGUUGCUACAGAACCAGUUGCUGCUGCUGCUGCUGCUGUGGAACCUGUUGUUGUUGUAGUUGCUACAUAACCAAUUGCUGCUGCUGUGGAACCUGUUGUUGUAGUUGCUGCUGCUGUAUCAGUCUUUGUGGCCUCUGAUAGGGAUGCAUCCUCUAUACAAUUAUGUUAAAAUGUUAGCAGUGUGGUGAAAGAGACCAAUGAGUAUGAAGAAAAAAAAUCUACUAGUAUUAAUCUGCUUUAAACGAGAACGUUAGCUUAUAUGUAUGGUAGAUAAAAGACAUGCUUCGCUAAGGUUAAACUUACCACUUCUUAUUUAACUUUCGAAGUCUAAAAUAAGAGAAAGAUUAUAUAAUUAAUAAGCUAAAGAUGAUGUAUGGUCGUCCUAAAAUCUGCCCCUACCUUCAACGUUCCUGUGCUCUAAUCAACCUAGCAGCGCUUUUCAACACAGAAACGGAAGCGCUCUAUCUGAAUUUUAGUUGUGAUGUCAAGGUCGGACCGAAAGGGAUUUUGAAAUUUAAAAUUCUAUGGAUAAAAAAUGAAUUAACAGAAAACCUUUGUAACUGUUUAAGGUAAAUGUUAGGCUGUUGAAUAAAUAAUAUUGUCAGAUUUUAUGAUUAAUAAGAUAAAUAUGUGACUAAUGAGUUUAAUUUCAACUUAUUGAUUCCCUUUUGUUCUCGGUCUGUAAAAUGAUAAAUAAAUAAAUUAAUUAUAUGCCCGUACGCUACGUCAUUAAAGAAAAAAUGUAAACAUUAAUAAUUUAACUACUUACAUUUUCAUUCAGCGAUUCUAAAUCCUUUGGACUAAAUUUGGCUUGCAGACUAUCCACAACAUCGUCUGCCUCCCUCAUGACAGGGGAGAUAGUACACCUUUUCGUUCUUCUUUUUGUUGAUAUGGAUAAAAAAACUCAUAAGAUUUAUCAAAAUAGGUUACAUUUACGGUUAGUACACUGUUAAGUGCAAGAGCGAGCUUCCUCACAAUACUUCCAUCAGAUCUCUCGAAUUCAACUUUUCGACAAAUCCGAACAAACUAGCUUGAGCCAUUCCGCUAAAAAAUACCCAAGUUCGCUAGAGCCACUUUUGCCGCCAAAUUGUAUAGCACUAAGGCAAUCACGUGAUAAUUUGCAUAUUGCUUUUCAGAUUCUUGUAGACAUUCCCACGGUUACAGUUCCGUAUAGUCCCAUCACGUGAUAUGUCAACCUUUCCUUGAACCUUUCUUAUAAAAUGGCAACAUUAACUCUAAAACAUGUCAUCUAUUCUUUUUCUUUAUAACAUGCGUACUCAACGGAAUUAUGAUGGCAAAUUCAACUUUGGUUAGCCCUGUUGUCGUUAGGUCAGUGAAUUGCUAAUUUUUCUCACGGUGGAUGAUUCGUCAGGUGUCUGACAAUAUAAUGACUGGUCCAUUUCGGACAAUUACACUUGGUACCUUCUGUGUUGUUGUCUGCGUGAGGACAACGCUAUUGUUCGGGGAGGUGAACUCAGGGCUCCCCAACCCUGGUAACUCCUAUCAAAUACAGAAGCGUGUAUACAAUUACUGCUUAGCCAUAAGUGUAUAUACACAUCUAGAAUGUUUCCAGCUGGGGGGAUAACAUUUUUGUACCGUAAAAAAAAAA